rnacentral:rRNA from 1 species
GUACUAUUAUAAUAUGUCUUAGAAAAAUAACUAAAAUAAUUUGGCAGUGAGCGAUUCUUUUUAGGGGAAGGUGUGGUGUAAAGGAUGAUCCGCCUAAUAAUUUACUUUUAUUAUAUUGGUGUAUAUCUGGUUUAAUAUUAUUGCUGAAUGGCAGAAGUUGUGUAGUGUUAUUUAAGCCAAGUCUAUGUGCUGUUUAUAAAAGUAUUCAUGCGUUACAUUAAUAAGUAUUUAAUUGUAAUAUUAGAUGAUUUAGGACUUAAAAGUAAUGUUUAAUUAAUUAGUAAAUG